rnacentral:misc_RNA from 1 species
AGCAGCCGCGGUAAUUCCAGCUCCAAUAGCGUAUAUUAAAGUUGCUGCAGUUAAAAAGCUCGUAGUUGAAUUUCGGGAUCAAUAUGUUGGUCGUGCCUCGGUACGUACUAGCUUAUUGGUUUCUCCCUUCUGACGAACCAUGAUGUCAUUUAUUUGGUGUUAUGGGAAAUCAGGACUGUUACUUUGAAAAAAUUAGAGUGUUUAAAGCAGGCUCACGCUUGAAUACAUUAGCAUGGAAUAAUGAAAUAGGACGUUUGAUUCUAUUUUGUUGGUUUCUAGGAUCGACGUAAUGAUUAAUAGGGAUAGUUGGGGGCAUUAGUAUUCAAUUGUCAGAGGUGAAAUUCUUGGAUUUAUUGAAGACUAACUACUGCGAAAGCAUUUGCCAAGGAUGUUUUCAUUAAUCAAGAACGAAAGUUAGGGGAUCGAAGACGAUCAGAUACCGUCGUAGUCUUAACCAUAAACUAUGCCGACUAGAGAUCGGAUGAUGUUAAUUUUUUAAUGACUCAUUCGGCGCCUUACG